rnacentral:rRNA from 1 species
UACGUAGGAUCCAAGCGUUGUCCGGAUUUACUGGGUGUAAAGGGUGCGCAGGCGGGCUGGUUAGUCUGUGGUGAAAUCUCAUCGCUCAACGGUGAAACUGCCUUAGAUACUGCCAGUCUUGAAUAAGCGAGAGAUCCGUGGAAUUCCGAGUGUAGCAAUGAAAUGUGUAGAUAUUCGGAAGAACACCAGCGGCGAAGGCAGCGGGUUGGCGCUUUAUUGACGCUCAGGCACGAAAGCAUGGGGAUCAAACGGG